rnacentral:rRNA from 1 species
UGGGAAUAUUGCGCAAUGGGCGAAAGCCUGACGCAGCGACGCCGCGUGAGGGAUGAAGGUUUUCGGAUCGUAAACCUCUGUCAGAAGGGAAGAAACCGCACUGUGCUAAUCAGCAGUGCCUUGACGGUACCUUCAAAGGAAGCACCGGCUAACUCCGUGCCAGCAGCCGCGGUAAUACGGAGGGUGCAAGCGUUAAUCGGAAUUACUGGGCGUAAAGCGCACGUAGGCUGCUUUGUAAGUCAGGGGUGAAAUCCCACGGAUCAACCGUGGAACUGCCUUUGAUACUGCUUAGCUUGAAUCCGGGAGAGGGUGGCGGAAUUCCAGGUGUAGGAGUGAAAUCCGUAGAUAUCUGGAGGAACAUCAGUGGCGAAGGCGGGCACCUGGACCGGUAUUGACGCUGAGGUGCGAAAGCGUGGGGAGCAAACAGG